AUUGAACGCUGGCGGCAUGCCUUACACAUGCAAGUCGAACGGCAGCACGGAAGCAAUCCUGGUGGCGAGUGGCGAACGGGUGAGUAAUAUAUCGGAACGUGCCCAGUCGUGGGGGACAACGUAGCGAAAGCUACGCUAAUACCGCAUACGAUCUAUGGAUGAAAGCGGGGGAUCGCAAGACCUCGCGCGAUUGGAGCGGCCGAUAUCAGAUUAGGUAGUUCGUGAGGUAAAGGCUCACCAAGCCGACGAUUUGUAGCUGGUCUGAGAGGACGACCAGCCGCACUGGGACUGAGACACGGCCCAGACUCCUACGGGAGGCAGCAGUGGGGAAUUUUGGACAAUGGGCGUAAGCCUGAUCCAGCAAUGCCGCGUGCAGGAUGAAGGCCUUCGGGUUGUAAACUGCUUUUGUACGGAACGAAACGGCGAGCUCUAAUACAGUUUGCUAAUGACGGUACCGUAAGAAUAAGCACCGGCUAACUACGUGCCAGCCGCCGCUGUAA
rnacentral:rRNA from 1 species